rnacentral:rRNA from 1 species
UACGAAGGGGGCUAGCGUUGCUCGGAAUUACUGGGCGUAAAGCGCACGUAGGCGGCUCUUUAAGUCGGAGGUGAAAUCCUGGAGCUCAACUCCAGAACUGCCUUCGAUACUGUAGAGCUUGAGUUCGGGAGAGGUGAGUGGAACUGCGAGUGUAGAGGUGAAAUUCGUAGAUAUUCGCAAGAACACCAGUGGCGAAGGCGGCUCACUGGCCCGAUACUGACGCUGAGGCACGAAGGCCAGGGGAGCAAACGGG